rnacentral:rRNA from 1 species
UACAGAGGUCUCAAGCGUUGUUCGGAUUCAUUGGGCGUAAAGGGUGCGUAGGCGGCGCGGUAAGUCGGGUGUGAAAUCUUGGAGCUUAACUCCGAAACUGCAUUCGAUACUGCCGUGCUUGAGGACUGGAGAGGAGACUGGAAUUUACGGUGUAGCGGUGAAAUGCGUAGAUAUCAGGAAGAACACCAAUGGCGAAGGCAGUUCUCUGGGACGGUACUGACGCUGAGACGCGAAAGCGUGGGGAGCGAACAGG